rnacentral:lncRNA from 1 species
UGUGUUUUUUUUCUUUGACAAGUACGAUUGGUUUAGGGUUAUUGUAUAUACUAAGCUUACUAGAUACGCGUUAAACUGUAAAGUUUAAUGAUAAAAUUAUGGAAGUAAGAGAGUUAAGUUUACGUACAAAGAUACUUAUCGUACAAAACGUGCGCAAGGGCAUGAAAAAGCAAAAAAAAAAAAAAAAAAAAAAAAAAGCGGUGUCAGUUUUGUAA